rnacentral:lncRNA from 1 species
GGACUUGAUGGCGAGAUUUGUGGGGUCCAGCCUCUAUGGAACAUGUUUUUCUUCCUUUCUUCUUCAUUUGUCAAUAUUGGCUACCCAGCAGCCCAUGUUUUUCUUUAUCUUUUGCACAUGUCAAAUUUGGCAGGCGUGCAGAAAAAAACUGUCAAAAGUGGUUGGCUUCAUUUUGCCUAUAAAAUGAGAGCUUCGGCUCUCAUUUUUUACACCACCAACAAAAUAGAGAAAGAAAGAGUGAGGUUUCAUAGACAUGGUAUAAGAAAAUAGUUUGUGAAGAAAAUAGAGAGUGUGAGCGAUAUUGUAGUGAGGCAAAAUAUCAAAAGAGGGUUAUUUCUUUUGAGUGUUGUAGUGGUGUUUGUAGUAUUUUACUCGGGCCUACAAAGUAUAAAUUCCUUACUAUGGUGAUAUCAGUUGCUCCUCUCGGGGUUGUGGUUUUUUCCGUAUUCGGAAGGGUUUUCCACAUAAAAAA